rnacentral:lncRNA from 1 species
CACAUCUCCAAAUACUCUCAUUGUUAAGUGAAAUUUCCUCCACCUGAAGUUACUGAAUUGAGCGAGUCUUUCUUUUUUUUUUUUUCAACUUCUAAAGAUCAACGAUGCAUAAAGGAGUACCACGACAGGAUUCAAAGUAUAGGAGGUGUUAAAAACUAAGUAAACAUUUCUUGGGCGUUUGGACUUCAUUUUCUUCAGUUGGGUGACUUUAAGUGGCGUGUUUUUCCUUUAGUGAAAGUCAGUUAAAACUAAUUUUGUACUAAAAGGAGAAACAUCCUUCCUUCUGCAAACUACAAAAUGAUUAAAAUUAGAGUCUGAGAGGUACAAUCAUCAAUCUAUGAGCUGAAGAUGAAGUAAUUUCCUCCAAAUUAUUUUUCACUAAGUGAUUCUCGCAUCUUUUAAGAGAAAAGAUGAGUAUAUUUUCGAAACAGACUAUUAUCAGAAGUGAAAAAACCCAUCAUUACAAAAAAAUUUUAAACUUAAACGUGGGCUCUUAGAACCUUCCUGCUUUUUCUCUAAGGUCUUCAUUUCUACUUAAUACGCCUAGUCAGACAGAUUUGUGGUUCUUUUUUGUAGCGCUUUUAUUCCAGAAUUUUGGAAUUGUGUCCCAUACACUCUGUAUGAGUAGAAAGCAAUAAUUCUUUUGCAAUAGGGAAGUUAGUCAGGUAAAAGAGUAGUCAAAAUGCAGUUUCACAGUGAGGCAAACAAUAUAUUCCCUAAAGGAGUGAGAAGACAAUGAGCUUCAUAGGCAUGGAGUUGUUCAUGUUAUCUUCAAUUGAAAUUAAUUUGGGAACAGAGAUUUAUAUACAGUCCUGCCUGCAAGGAAAAUUAAUAUCAAAAUUUUCAGUAAAUCUCAUAGUCAGCUACUAAUGACCACCUGCAUAUUUCCACACUAGAGUCAUUUAAUACUGUCCACCACCAAUUUCCACUGUAAAAAGUAUUCAUAUAUUAAAUAUAGACCUUUAUUUUCUUCUUGAAGUCGUAAAUUACCUUACCAACUUUUAUGGAAAUACUCACGGCACAGUGAGAAGCAUUUUU